rnacentral:lncRNA from 1 species
AUUGUGGAGCACAUCAACAAAGCCCUGCACACCUCCCUUAAGCAGCACUCCUUCAUCGGGGUCCUGGAUAUCUAUGGGUUUGAGACCUUCGAGAUCAAUAGCUUUGAACAGUUUUGUAUCAACUACGCCAAUGAAAAGCUCCAGCAACAGUUCAAUUCGCAUGUGUUCAAGCUGGAGCAAGAAGAAUAUAUGAAGGAGCAGAUCCCGUGGACUUUGAUUGACUUCUACGAUAACCAACCGUGUAUAGACCUCAUAGAGGCAAAGCUGGGCAUCCUGGACCUGUUGGAUGAGGAGUGUAAGACCCUCUGAGAAAGAAUACUGAAGUGGCACUGAAGAGUUGAGUUCUGUGACCUCCAUGCAAGAACACACAAAGCCAAAUGAGGACCGAGCUAAGGGUGUGAAGCAGCCAAGGGAAAUCACGUUCAAUCACCGUCCUGGAGAUGUUGAAGACAGCAGCUCGUAGCUGCUGCUUUUCAUUUGGAAGUGUAGACGUGGCCUUGAGAGGAUUCUUCUCCAUUGUGAGGGAGGCCAGGAGCUAGGAGGAGUUGGAGAGGAGACACAUCAUUAAAACAAUUUGGUUCCUUCGGGGGGUGCGGGGGGAGCAUCUGCAGUCAGAUCUAGUCACGACCUUCUGCUCAACACUCAGGAGGCAGAGUCAGUUCAAGACUGACCUGAUCCACAUAGUUUUAGGCCAACCAGAGCUACCUUAUCUCAAAAACAACAACAACAACAACAAACAAACAAACAGACAGACAAACAGAGAAAAAGAAAACACAGAGAUAGGAGGAUGAAGAGGAAGAGGAGGAGGUGGUGGUGGUGGGAGAGGAGGUAGUAGUUAGUGGUUAUAGCACUUCUUCAGGACAGCGGCCUGGGGAUGCUUUGGUGCAACGAUGACUUGUGUGUUUUCAGGGGAUAGAUGGGAGGGCACAGGGAGGUGUAGGAUGGGACAAGAUAACGUAUAAGUAACCAAGAAAGCCGUCCUUGUAGCAGUCACCCCCCCCCAGGGGGACAGGAACAAAAGCAAGGUUGAAUAAAUGGUCACAGAGCCCUAAGCUGUCACCUCUGGUCUGUCUGCUGUCCUGUUGGGGGGCAGGCUUUAGCCCCAGGUGAUGUCCCAAGAAAGGACAGUGUUUGUGGUGACAUAAUCCUUAUCAAGGACAUUAGAGAGAGGUUUCCAUUCCCCAACAUCGCCUCCUUUAAGAAAAAAUACUACUUCAUCUUAAUCGUGAAGAAUAAAGUGUUUUUAGGAGCUUUGUUGAGGUGUAAUGCAUUUGAAGCAUACAGCGGUAUUGUGUUUUUUGUUCUUGAGUUUGAAAUUAAACUUUAGUCUUUUCAAAGUAAAGUAACUUAGAAAUGAAUAUAGAGGUUAAAUAAACCAGAUGUAAGAGAGAAAUCAGACAGACAGGGAAAUGGGCAGUCAGACAGAAGAGGGCUGGUGAUGGUUGGCUGUGCUCAGAUCUUCUCCAUCUUAGAGAUGAAGUCAUCACGGAUCCCGGGCAGCUCAUCAUUUUCUUUAGUCUUCUACUCCACAGUCUUCUCCAGACAGUGGAUCCACAUACUGCGUUUUUUUACAAGAUUUGUUGAGCUGUAACACACACAGUGUGAGCAUUUGAAGCACACAGCUCAGUGGCUUUCACUGCGUUCAGCACUGCAGACAUCACUUCCUGAGCAUCCUUCCUGCCCCGCGAUGGGCGCCUCUGCCUGUCACCUCCCCUGUCUCCAUACAGAGAAGUCACAGCCAGCACCACAGGCCCAAGGGUUUAGGACUCUGAGUGAUGGAACUAGACCCAGGCACUGAGUCCAGUGUUCUCCAUGAUGUAUCAAGAGGGGUGAAAGGAACCCUGCACGUAGCCAUGUAUGGACUACUUUUAAAGGAUUUGGCCCCCUGUACACUCUAGAGCUAAAGAUAGCUAUAAUCUAGACCAUGUUCAAAUACAAGAUUUUCUUUCCCCCAUAGCUGAUUAAAAUUUAUAUAUGUG